GUGCCUCUUUCUCUUUUCCUGAUUUAGUUAGAGACACUGAAAGUGGAACUAGAUGAAGCAAGGUUAAGUGAAAAGCAGCUGAAGCAGAAGCUGGAUCACCAAGAGGAAGUUCUCACUCGCAAAUCGGAAGAGCUCUGGCUAAUGUCUGGGCAGCGCAUGGGCAAUAGCACGUCUUCAGAGGUGCUGGCUCUUCAGAUUGAGCUAACUCAAAUGGAAGAAUCCUUGAGCUCGAUCUGAUCAUCAGAGAUGAAGAUGGAAACAUACUGGACCCUGACAACACCAGCAUCAUCAGCUUGUUCCAUGCUCAUGAGGAGGCUACUGAAAAGAUCACAGAGCGCAUCAAAGAAGAAAUGAGAAAAUUGAAGUACCUGUACUCAUAAAGAGAUGUGAGGUGCUGCCAUUGGAUAUAACUACCCCAGAAGAAACACCUGCUGCCAGUGCCCCUAGGGAAGAAGUUUCUAGACUGCCACUUCAGAGAGAGGAGAAAGUCCUGCCUUAAUAGCUUCGAUGAUAACACUGUGCAGUGGGGCCAGCCAGCCUCUCCAGCCAUUCAGCCAGCCAGCCUCUCUCCCCAAGAGCCCACCUCUGGACAUGCAGCCAAUGAAGGAGAAGAAAUGUGUGAAGCUUGUGGAUGGUCCAGCCAAUGCUGAGGCCUUACGUGAACAAAAUGGGAACACCCCCAGCUCUCCCAGGUUAACUGCAGAGUCAAAGCUUUCAACAGAAGUGAAAAAAAGGAAAGAAACUACAAGCAAAUUGGAAAAGGGGGCUUGUAAG